rnacentral:rRNA from 1 species
ACGCAGCGAACUGCGAUAAGUAAUGUGAAUUGCAGAAUUCAGUGAAUCAUCGAGUCUUUGAACGCACAUUGCGCCCCCUGGCAUUCCGGGGGGCAUGCCUGUCCGAGCGUCAUUGCUGCCCUCAAGCCCGGCUUGUGUGUUGGGUCGUCGUCCCCC